UUUCCUUUUCUGCUGUAUUAAAGUAUAGGUUUCCUUUUCUGCUGUAUUAAAGUAUAGGUUUCAUCUUCUGCUGUAUUAAAGUAUAGGUUUCCUUUUCUGCUGUAUUAAAGUAUAGGUUUCCUUUUCUGCUGUAUUAAAGUAUAGGUUUCAUCUUCUGCUGUAUUAAAGUAUAGGUUUCCUUUUCUGCUGUAUUAAAGUAUAGGUUUCCUUUUCUGCUGUAUUAAAGUAUAGGUUUCAUCUUCUGCUGUAUUAAAGUAUAGGUUUCCUUUUCUGCUGUAUUAAAGUAUAGGUUUCCUUUUCUGCUGUAUUAAAGUAUAGGUUUCAUCUUCUGCUGUAUUAAAGUAUAGGUUUCCUUUUCUGCUGUAUUAAAGUAUAGGUUUCAUCUUCUGCUGUAUUAAAGUAUAGGUUUCCUUUUCUGCUGUAUUAAAGUAUAGGUUUCCUUUUCUGCUGUAUUAAAGUAUAGGUUUCAUCUUCUGCUGU